UUAAAUUGAAGAGUUUGAUCAUGGCUCAGAUUGAACGCUGGCGGCAGGCCUAACACAUGCAAGUCGAACGGUAACAGGAAGAAGCUUGCUUCUUUGCUGACGAGUGGCGGACGGGUGAGUAAUGUCUGGGAAACUGCCUGAUGGAGGGGGAUAACUACUGGAAACGGUAGCUAAUACCGCAUAACGUCGCAAGACCAAAGAGGGGGACCUUCGGGCCUCUUGCCAUCGGAUGUGCCCAGAUGGGAUUAGCUAGUAGGUGGGGUAACGGCUCACCUAGGCGACGAUCCCUAGCUGGUCUGAGAGGAUGACCAGCCACACUGGAACUGAGACACGGUCCAGACUCCUACGGGAGGCAG
rnacentral:rRNA from 1 species